UACGGAGGGUGCAAGCGUUAAUCGGAAUUACUGGGCGUAAAGCGCGCGUAGGCGGCUAGAUAAGUCGGAUGUGAAAGCCCCGGGCUCAACCUGGGAACUGCAUACGAUACUGUCUGGCUAGAGUAUGAGAGAGGGAGGUAGAAUUCCACGUGUAGCGGUGAAAUGCGUAGAUAUGUGGAGGAAUACCGGUGGCGAAGGUGGUCUCUUGGCUUAAUACUGACGCUGAGGUGCGAAAGUGUGGGGAGCAAAUAGG
rnacentral:rRNA from 1 species